GGAAACGCCCGGUUACAUUCCGAACCCGGAAGCUAAGCCUUACAGCGCCGAUGGUACUGCAGGGGGGACCCUGUGGGAGAGUAGGACGCCGCCGAAC
rfam:Streptomyces caelestis strain NRRL B-24567 P188contig11.1, whole genome shotgun sequence.